rnacentral:rRNA from 1 species
GACGAGAUCUGAAGCCGCCGGGCAGCAGGGCUCCCCCAAGUACCAGGAGAAGAUAUGUUUGCAGCCUGUGCUCAUCUAUUAAAGCUUGAUACCAGCUUUCAUAGAUCCGGAUGGUUUUGAAGUGAUAGCUGGCUUGACUUUGCUUUUCUUCAAAGCAUCUUGACAGACCAAAAUCCGUAAUUUUUGGCACCAUGUUUUCGUCUAGCAAUAUAUUUGCAGGUUUUAGGUCUAAGUGAAAAGUAUCGAUCUCUGUGAAUAUAUUGUAAACCUUCACAAAUUCCCUUGAUUAUUUCAUAGCGCUAUUUUAAAAUAAAUGAUUUGUAUUGGAAAAACCAAGUUGUCCAAUAUACAUAUUCAUGACUUGAAAAAGUAAAAAAAUACAGUCAUUGUAUAUUGUGUUUGACUUAGAAAGAAAGAUGAAAAAGUUAAACAAAAAGAUGUGAAGGCAGAUGAAUGCUUUGCUUAUGCAUGAAUUCAUAUUGAUAAAGCGCUAUUGAAUGAUCAAGGAAUUUGUGAGGUUUACAUUAUCUUUGCAAGAGUUGUAUUGUUCAGUUAGACCUAGACAUGCAAGUAUAUUUCUAGGCGAAAAUAUAUUGUUAAAAAUUGCGGAUUUUUGUCUCUCAAGUUGCUUGGAGGAAAAACAAAGCCAGGCUAUCGCUUCAAAACAGUUUGGAUCUAUGUAUGAAAGAAGGGACAUUGAUGAACUGGGUUGGAUUUACUUUGACUUGCAAACUUGUUUGCAUGUUAACAUCAGGUAUGAUAGUAGAAACACAUAGCAUGCACAUCAGUCAAUAGGCUUGGCAAAACGGCUCACUUAUGCUCCAUGACAUGCUCCACUAACCUCUUUUUUUUAGCUAGUGUACAUCUUUAGGUACUUUGAGCUGGUGGAGGAGGUCAAGUGUCAUCAGUUGUCCAAGAGAAAUGUUCCAAUGAGCUACUAAAUAUUUGGAGGAAGCCUUUAUAGUUUCUUGCACAAAGAGUGUAAUGUGUUGGACCUCAUCAUGUAUUAAGUAUUAUUUUGGAGGAUAUACUAUGCUCUCUGUUUUGUUAUAUCGUGCAUGCACAUUAUAAAGUAGAGUGUGGCGCAAUAUAUAGAUCAUAAUUGUUGUUAAGGUGCUGAAUUCCAUUUAGCUUAGUAGUGGAUGCUAUGAUAGCUGAGACUGGGAUUUAUGCUGGGUCUGACCAUCUGAAUUCAGUUGUUUGUAAAAUGUUCCAUACUCGCAAUAUUAUAUACUCAUGACACGAAGGAAGGAAUGACAAAUCUUGUAAUGACUAAUGACAAGGAAGGAACGACAAAUCUUUUUUGAUCUUGUUGCUUUGCAAGCUCAUGACACGAGGUUGUUCAGGUUUUUAUCUUGUUUUGCUUGACACUAGUGCUUUACACUUAACCAUGGCAAAUCUUCACAGCUGUUUGCAGGCCUUAAGAUUUCCAUGUUUUACACUCUUGUUGUUACAGUGAGCAAGCAUGAGGAUCCAGGGGAGACAAGCCAGGAAGGAUGGAUGAGAUUGGCUGGCCCUACUCAAUGACAGUUCCUCGCGUUGACUGACUGGCCGAAUGAGGAUUGUGGUUGAUGGCAUUAGAGGAAAUGCAUCUCUAGCACGACCUACUCCAUGACAGUUCCUCGCGUUGACUGACUGGCCGAAUGAGGAUUGGGGUUGAUGGCAUUAGAGGAAAUGCAUCUCUAGCACGGCUUGUUUUCGUGUGGGAACCAAUUUUUCGUGGUCUUACUCUCAAUUUCCACUACAGCUCUAGUGUGGUGUAUAUCUCACAUAGAGCAAACUGGAGUGACCUUCCUGUGUUAGCAGUUGGCUUGUUGGAUUUGUGGAUGUAUUGGUACAACUCAGUCAUUGUUUUUUGUUUUUUGUUUCUGCGAAAACGCAAGUAUCAGUCAUUCUGGAAUCCAAUAGCACACAGAGUGGAAAUGUAAUCAUUAAUUCAUUCUUCUUGUUAAAUGGAAGGUUGGAGCGGGAGACAAAAUUUUGUUUUGGAAAGAUCGGUGGAUCCAUGGCGCAACCAUCACAGAGCUGGCCCCCUUGGUAGUGAAGACAGUC